GACAACUUUAAUAAAUGUCAAUAAAACUAGCACGUUUUUUGUCAAACAAUUUUAAUUUGAAACAAAAAAGAAGAACAAUUUGGAAUAAAAAAAUGAGUGCUGACAAGGUGAAGACCACCGGUACAAGCAGAAAACCACCAUUCGAUGUAUGUUCUGAAGACAUGAAUGAAUCUAAUACCAAAGGAUUCAAGGAUGGUGGUAAGAUGGCUACAUGUUUGAUUAAAAAAUACCACCCUUUUUUCUUGGAUGCGAAUCUGAAGAACCGACUACCGCUAACUCAUGACAAACGAAAACUCCCAAAGUGUAAAGCAAUGUGAUUCUGUAACAAUUGAUGGUUUUAAAUUUCAUUAGAAUCUUUACAAUUUACGAAGAAAGAUAAACCCA